rnacentral:rRNA from 1 species
UAAAAGCUGUUGCAGUUAAAAAAGCUCGUAGUUGGAUUUUUAGAGUGUAUUGAUACGGUCUCUUGUGAUAAAACUUGUUGUACUGUAUCAAUUACUCUUUCCUACUGGUUACUCGACUCUGUUCUUUUAUUGCAUGGAGUAGUGUCGCAAGGCAUCGCUUAGUAUUUUUAUUGCUUUUUAGAUGUAGUAAUUGGGUAAAACUGGUUAUGAAACCUAAGGGAUCACAGUAAAAGUAUUAAGUGGGGUUCCAGUUCAUUUUACUUUUGAGUAAAAUUAGAGUGUUCAAAGCAGCCUGUAUGGGCAUUGAAUAGAUUAGCAUGGGAUAAUAGAAUAGGAUUCUUAUCUAUUUAUUGGUUUAUAGAUUUAGAAUAAUGAUUAAUAGGGAUAGUUGGGGGCACUUGUAUUCAAUAGUCAGAGGUGAAAUUCUAGGAUUUA